rnacentral:lncRNA from 1 species
GCGAACUGAAUCUGUUAGUCGUCUUGGAUCCGGAAGUGGGUUUUCACUGGGGCAGUUGACUUCUUGACCCACUGAACACUUUGAUUGAUGGAUCGAUCCGUCGGUUGUUGCAUUUCCCCCAAUCUGAUUUCUGGCCUGGAACAUCAUUCUGACAAGGGGAUAGACACCGUUUCCCUGCAUCAGCAGUCAGCAGAUGAAAUCAAACGGAGGAAAAACAGUUUGUAUUUUUUUUAAUUUCUUGUCUUGUGAUUAUGAUUGCUGCACUUGAUGGGAUUGGGCUAUGUCACCAUCAUCAAAAUAAAUAAAUGGAUUACUUGGUACCUCCGGAGUUUACCUAGUUUAUGAGGGAGGAGCUUGCGAUGCUGUUGCGUUGUUGGCGCUCUUUGUCCCUUUCUCUGUAUUCCAUUAUUUAGGUUACUGGUUCUCUUCAUCUCAACGGGCC